CUGACCUUUUCAACAUUUCUCACUGACAAGCCAUCUUCUCGAUGCACAGAGUGGCUUCCCGGGCACCCAUAUGCUCACACCCAUCUGGCAGGGUGAAAUUGUGCCCGCUCACAGGCACACGCGCACUCUCUGCAAGCCAGGCCAGGCAAUACCAAUUGCAGAGCACUGGUUUAAGGGGACAACCAGCAAAUAAAAUUAAAUCUCAGCUGCAGAGACUUUCUGGUAAUAAGCAGUCCCAGUUAGAAAUGCAAAUGUCACUGAAAGGGAGCAUGUCUGUUGACAGUAGACUUUGAGGAAAGCUUUGGUUUUAGUGCUGGUAAAUUAAUCUUUAAUUACGAACAUGCCUCACUUCUGAAAGAAGCGCCUUGCACACACUGCACCGGCAGCAUGUGAAAGUUUCAGUCUGUUGCUUGCUUCUGUCAAACGAGACAUCCCACCCCCAAAGAGCAGAGCAGAGGCGAGCCUCACGGGCUGCCGGCGGGUUUAGUGCCCUGCUGCAGCUGGGGCUGGGGCUGCCCAGGGCCACUGGCUCUCCAGGUGGCAAGAAGUUAGCAACUCGUUAAAAACACUGGUAUUUAAACAGCAUGACUUCCAUGCUCUUAAAUAUAAAUAUCUAGAUGAAGAAUUAUCAAGGUCUGAGUUUUCCAAGGCUCGGCUGCCUGCCCUCCGUGCGGAGCACACCUCGCCAGCUGAGAGGGGAUCGCAAGGCGCUGCAGCAAAGCCUUCCUGAGGCCAGCGAUGAGUGUCCAACACCUCCACUCCCGUGCUGGCUGGAUUAUUAAAAUAACAUUUCCACUUCCAAGUAAGUAAAUAAAUCUCACUGGCAAGUUUCUCUUGUGACAGCCAAUAUCUUGUCUCCCCGAGAACUGGGACGGUGUCCUGCAAAGCUGAAAACCCAGCGCUCUAAAACCUGAGUGCCACAGCCAAGAGAUACACCAGAUCCAUCUUCUGAGGUAGCACAUACAACAAAGUAAGCAAAUGCGGUCUAGAAAUCCUAUUAUUAAGGUUACAAAAAUAAUUUCAUUUCAGAAAGUUCAAAGUUAUGAAAUCCUGCUGCAAGCUUUUGGGUUUUUUAGCCUACACCUAAAAAGCCUUGCCCCAAAAGCUUCGUUGCCCAAAAGCGGCCGUGCUGCACCCCAACUUCGGAAGGCCCAGAACACCUGGCUUCAGGUGCAACAGGAAGAUCCCAACAUACCUUACCAUAAAUAUGCAUAUGCGACACAAGAGUCUGCCGCCUUCUUGGAGAGAUGCCAUAAUUGAUGGAACAAAGCACAACAAAACUUCACAUCACUGGUGGAUCAGAAGAACAGAGGAGAGCUCCUGCUAUGGCAAGCAGAGAAGACAGGACGUGCUUCAGCCAUUACUGUGGGUCUGUGUGAGGAAGGUGAUGCAGAGGAAUUUAAUUCAUGAACAGUUAUCAUCCUUUGGUAAGACAACAGUUGCUCCCAGCAGCCUGGAUCAAUUCCCCAACAGACAUUUGGAAUUUUUCUCCAAACAAACCAUUGGUGUAACAGGAAAACAGUACUGUCAGCUCCGGAUGGUUGUGCCUUCUCACAUAAGCAUUGAAUAUGCCCUGUUCCUUUAAUAAAGAAGAAAAAGAAGAGUCAAGGUCAUUAAAAUGCCAGCCACCACCCCCAAGAGAGUCAGGUGGGGCUUGUUUUAGCUCAUCAGCGAGGUAAGUGCUCAGCUCAACCCUGAGAGCCUCUCAGACAUCACCUAUGGGAAGGGUGAAGGUAGCCAUCGCAUCCGGGCGAGUGGGCACUUUCUAACCGGUGGUGACUUUCACCCCGAGCUGUUUCAAGGAGCUCUCUCGAAAAGCACGAGCUGCUCAGCAAACCAAAGAAGCCAGCACUGCAGCUCCCUAGCGAAGCCUCUGUUAGCUAAGGAGAAUCCCACACACCUGUAAGCCAGCCAGCAGCUGAGGGCUUCCAGGUUCUUGUCAUUUCUGUAUUCCUACCUCACUAUGUUUGUAAGAGAAAAAAAAAAAAUUUCUAUAGUUUCAGAGACACCUGUGCUGAGGUAGUUGCCCCCAUCCCACAGUGCUGGGGGGACUCAGCUGCAUUUUGCCGAAGCUCCACAAGCUCCAUUCCCGCAGCCCUUCUGCUCUGCUCCGUGACUGCUCGGAAGUCACCACAUAUGUCAAAGCUCAGUUCUCAGUGUCACUGCUGUGAAAUAAGACUGGCUUCUCCAUCAAUGCUGCUUCUGGGCUUUGACGCUGUACACACGAGGGCCAGGAGCGUAUGGGGGGGCUCAGCAUCGUGCCCCAGUUCAGCCUGUGCAGCAGUGGAGCUGCAGAUAACCUCCCCGCUUGCUAAACCAAAGAUGACCCCUGAGCCUUUGACCCUGCAAGCCAGUGAAACAAAGCAGAGUGCGUCAGGGCUGGACUUGUUACAAGUAAUUGAGGUGAAAGAGAUAAAUCACAUAAUUUUUCUCUUUGUGCAUUGGGGGGGUGGGAGGAAAGGAGAAGAAAGUUCAAUGCAGAAAUUAGUCACCUUGUUUUGUUCUUACUAAUGGAAAUUUCCCAGAAACCAAAAUAAAGGGUGUCGUAUAAGAACCCAAAGAGAAUAAAAUUAGCUAGAACCCACAUCCGAACUUUUAAACCCAGUGCAUGAAUGCAGGUGUCUGCAGCUGAGCAUGGUAUUUUUGUUUCAGCUCAUCAGAGGUAUGAGUCACUUGCAUCAAAAGAGGAGGAUGCCUUGAUCUGCGUGUGAGCGAGCGCUGGAGCAGCAGCUGUUGGAGCAAAUACAAACAUCCAUGCCAAGAAGCCACUUCUCCCAUGAAGGGCAACCACAUGUGAAGGGAAAGAGUCCAAUUCAAGAUUUCUUACUGUGCCUUUGCCAGAGACAUUCCUAAGGAGAUGGAAACUCUCUGAAUGUGGAAUUUUCGCAUGAGUGCAAAAUAAUAAAAAGCAUGUGUGUAUUAAAAAGGGAUCAACUUAAUGGGAAAUGAGCAUUGGGUUACAUUAAUAUUCUAUUACAGUAAAAAUCAUAUUUAAUAAAUUUUCUCCAGAUUUUUCAGAAUCUUACUGUAUUUUUCUAAGUUGUAUGCCAAUCCAAAGAAACAGUGUAUAUGAUACAUUUGAUUUAUGUUAAAUAAAUAACCUGCACAGCCCAUUUUUUGGUUUUUUAAAAAAAAAUUAAGUGUAGAAACACACACCAGACUGAAAUCUGCGCUUAGUUUCCAUCUGCUAGGAGGAAUAGUGUCGGUCUUGUGCAGCAGAAAGCCUUUAUAAACAGUAUUCUAUUUUAUUGAUGCUAUAUGUGGAUUUUAUGUUAUGUGGCAAGAGCAGGAGACUGAAAACAUUGUAAUUUAUCCUAAACCGUAAAAUUAUACUAGUACUAAAGUAAUUACUUCACAUAUUAAAAUACAGUUUCCUUUACCUUCUUUUGUCAUCACAUAAAAUUAGGCGUUGAGCGCUGCAGCGUGAAGGGGCCGGCGCUUUUCUUGCCUUCACAAAGGAUUGACACAUCCCUGAUCGUACACUAUAUCACCCGACCCUUGUUGUUCUGUGACCCUAAUUAAUAUUAUACUCAGUGACAUUUAUGUAUCAGAGCAAUAAGCUAAACAGGAAACAAUUUAUGUCACCUAAAGCUUUUUAACAAAUCGAUGCAACUAUUUGUAAUUGCUUGUUUCACAAGAUUAAAAGUACUCAGCCUUGAUCUUCGCCCACAGUUUUGUGGCCAACAUGACCUGUGCUUCCGUUGUAAAAUAGGAGUGUUGGUGAUCAGCACCUAUUUCCAUCAAGUAAUCCAUAUUGCUAAUAUUUCUGGAAUUUUAAUGUAGUUACAAUUUAUAGCCGAUCAAAUGUGGUUACCUAAAUUGCUGUUGCUAGUAGACAGUUUAACUGUCUUUAUUAAUUACAGUAUAAUUUAAUGUUUGAGUACAGGCACUUGUGUUGGUCAUUUUUACAGCCAAAGCAGUUAUGUGCCUUAUGACGAACCAUUUUAGCAUUUUCAAUGGAAAUUUGCUAAUAUGAUGAGUGAUAAAAAUGUCAAACUCUGGUAAAUAAUGGUUAUUGCUUUGGCUGGAAUUAAUCCUUGAAAGGACGGUUACCUUCAAAUUAACAUUAUAACUUGAAGACAAAAAAUGUUUUUCAGGCUUCUGAGAUGCAUGAAAAAUGGCCACUGAGCUCCUCUAAGUAAAUACAUACUAAACCCUGCAAAACAUGGUGGGGUUGUUGU